AUCCUGCUGACGAGUCCCGAAUAGGACGAAACGCGCGUCAAACUGGAU
rfam:Schistosoma mattheei strain Denwood, Zambia genome assembly, scaffold: SMTD_scaffold0008217